UGGGCCGGUAGCUCAGCUGGGAGAGCGCAGCGUUCGCAAUGCUGAGGCCGAGAGUUCGAUCCUCUUCCGGUCAACCA
rnacentral:tRNA from 1 species